UAGUAACAACGAACUGUGAGAAGUCAGCAGAGGCCAUAGUACCAAAAAAAGUGGGAAGGGC
rnacentral:ncRNA from 1 species